AUGCAUCUCUGACAGACCUGGAGCAGUUACUGUCUGCUGCUCAGGUGUCCACUACAGAUGCAAGAAAGAGGUCUUUGUGCUUUCUGGCUCUCUGGUUCUGGCAGCCAAGAUUGCAUAGGGGAAUCUUUGA
rnacentral:snoRNA from 1 species